rnacentral:lncRNA from 13 species
AUUUUCACUGUGCCUAUUUCAGGACACUUUUAUCUUUUCAUCCAGUACCCUCUCCUGGCCUUGUCUCUGGCUUAUGUGUUCUGUGAUAUCUUUUCUGUCUCUUCACUUUUUAAAAUGCAAAAUAUUUUCCAUGAGGCUUCGGUCUUUUCCAUUCCCAGCUGGUCAUCUUUGGCGGCACGUCCAGAACCCAUAAAUGCUUAAGGGCCCAGGGCUGAAGAGCUUUAACUGUUCUGUUUCCAGAAAUAACAUGAGAAUAUGCCACUUUACUCCUCUGCUGUAGGUCUCAUGGCCCAGUAGUCCCUUUUAACUCAAGCUGUUGCUGAUUCCCCUCCCCAAAAUAUGUGGGAAUUUUUUGUUGUUAUUAUUCUAUUCCUAUGGGGUAGGUGACUAACUUUUAGAAUAUCUGCUGUAAUCUCCCUAAGUGAAAAAUAUAAAAACUCAUUCAUCCAGUAUUAAUAUGUGCUUCAUGCAAAUCUCAAUGCUCUUUGACAAAGCAAAUUCCACAAUUAAUCACUGUCCCAUCUCUGUCGGCAACUCUGUUAUUUUACAUAAUAGAUGCCCCCUCCCCAUCCAGUGGUGUCCUUGAUGGAAUAUUUAGUUGUCAGAGGUUUUAUAUUUGUAAUAGGAAAUGUACACUGGAUGUGAGAUAGUGAACAGUGAAAGUCACUAAUUAGCUACAAGGACAAUUCCCAACAAAGGUCUUAAAUUACAGUCAGCUAAGCUGUUUUCUCAUGUGGUCCCCGUAGCUUUCACAGCUGGUGAGUCCUUCAAUCACACAUGACAGGACUUCCACACUCGAAAUCAAAUCACAGUUGUUUUAAUUCUGUUAUUUAGAACUCCCAUUUCAUUUUUCCAUGGACAAAAUUGUUCUUUAUGUCAUAGUGCAUUUAAAAUUUGGUAAUACCUGUGAGUUAAAAUAAAUAUUAUAGCUAUACCCAACUAACUUCUACGGACUUGAUUGUUCUAUCACAAAGCCCUUUCCCAGUUCCCCUUCAGGAAUUCACAUCUCUCCAGAGCUCUUUGUGCCCACGGGUUGUACCUCCAGAGUGGAGAAGACCCUUUGUCAGGAAGGGAGACAGAGGGGGACGAGAGGGUCUGCAGGUCGAGCUGGGAUCAAUUUCCACUCUGCCGCUGGUCAAUGUGGCUUCAGGAGGACCCCUUUCUCAGGAUUGCCCUACUUGCUCUAUGGCCUGGCUGGCCCUUCAGGACCAUUCAUGGGCUGCCAGACACCUCCUCUGCCUGGGUGGCCUCUGGGACCUCAACCACUGACUCCAUGCAUAUCACUUGGUAUGCUGAUCUGAACAAUAUGGACUGACUUUUAAAGUGGAUUCAUCUUUUUUUACUCAUUGAGUGAAUAGAAAGAAAUAUCACAGAUAGUACUGAGGAAGGAGACCCAGGCAUCGGGGAUUCCCUCCCUCUCUGUCAUCAACUGUGCAUCUCAAUAGAAGAGAGAGCAGGCCUGCUGGCGCCUCCUGAACCUCCUUCCUGAAAAUAACACGCUUGGUCUUGGGGAAAUUCUCUGGAAGACACUAUUUUUACUUAAAACAAGAUCAAACCAGAAACCUUUUCACAUAUGAGUCUUAAAACUGUAAACCAGAACCCUUUCAUAUGUAAUUUCUAAAGCUAUAAACCUAAAAUUCUUCCACGUGUAACAUCUAAAGUAUAAACCUAUAUAAAGGCAGAACCUUCCUUUGUUAGAGGAGCUGGGCUUUGGGCAAAUUAUGCCCAGGCUCCUGGCCAAAUAAUAAACUCUUUCCUCCUUUAUUCGGUGUUUGGGAA